GAUGCAAUUGCCGAGUUAUAUGGUAGCUUAACAUUUAGUAUUUUUUAUAAAUUGACAAACUUUUUUCCAGAGUGUCUAUACCAUUUUAUAUUCCACCAGCAAU
rnacentral:pre_miRNA from 1 species